rnacentral:pre_miRNA from 1 species
CUUGUACUCCCUCCGUUCAGAAUUACUUGUCGCACGUAUGGAUGUAUCUAGAUGUAUUUUAGUUCUAGAUACAUCCAUUUCAGCGACGAGUAAUUUGGAACGGAGGGAGUAUGAC